ACUCAAAGGAAUUGACGGGGGCCCGCACAAGCGGUGGAGUAUGUGGUUUAAUUCGAAGCAACGCGCAGAACCUUACCUGGGCUUAACAUCCUUUGACAGCUGCAGAGAUGUAGUUUUGCCUUCGGGCACAGAGAGAUAGGUGCUGCAUGGCUGUCGUCAGCUCGUGUCGUAAGAUGUUAGGUUAAGUCCUGCAACGAGCGCAACCCCUAUCCUUAGUUGCCACCAUUAAGUUGGGAACUCUAGGGAGACUGCCGGUGUUAAACCGGAGGAAGGCGGGGAUGACGUCAAGUCCUCAUGGCCCUUAUGUCCAGGGCUACACACGUACUACAAUGGCAAAGACAGAGCGAUGCAAGACCGCAAGGUGGAGCUAAUCGCAAAAACAUUGUCUCAGUCCGGAUUGAAGUCUGCAACUCGACUUCAUGAAGUUGGAAUCGCUAGUAAUCGCAGAUCAGCACGCUGCGGUGAAUACGUUCCCGGGCCUUGUACACACCGCCCGU
rnacentral:rRNA from 1 species